rnacentral:tRNA from 1 species
GGGGAUCUAGCUCAGUGGUGUAAGCAUCUGCCUGGGAAGCAUGAGGUGGUGAGUUUGAUCCCCG